rnacentral:rRNA from 1 species
UGGGGAAUGAUUGCACAAUGGGCGAAAGCCUGAUGCAGCAACGCCGCGUGAGUGAUGAAGGCCUUCGGGUUGUAAAGCUCUGUCUUUUGGGACGAUAAUGACGGUACCAAAGGAGGAAGCCACGGCUAACUACGUGCCAGCAGCCGCGGUAAUACGUAGGUGGCAAGCGUUGUCCGGAUUUACUGGGCGUAAAGGAUGCGUAGGCGGAUUUUUAAGUGAGAUGUGAAAACCCUAAGCUUAACUUGGGGACUGCAUUUCAUACUGGAAAUCUAGAGUGCGGGAGAGGAGAAUGGAAUUCCUAGUGUAGCGGUGAAAUGCGUAGAGAUUAGGAAGAACACCAGUGGCGAAGGCGAUUCUCUGGACCGUAACUGACGCUGAGGCAUGAAAGCGUGGGUAGCAAACAGGAUUAGAUACCCUGGUAGUCCACGCCGUAAACGAUGAGUACUAGGUGUAGGAGGUAUCGACCCCUUCUGUGCCGCAGUUAACACAAUAAGUACUCCGCCUGGGAAGUA